AUGCCUGACGGGGUAAACAACACGGCUAUUGUUCUUAUCCCGAAAAUUCCUUUCCCAAAGGAACUCAAGGAUUUUAGACCGAUAAGCCUAUGUAACGUCAUUUACAAGAUUGUUUCAAAAUGCUUGGUUAACAGGCUGAGGCCGAUGCUUGCGGAGUUAAUUUCAGAGAAUCAGAGUGCCUUUAUCUCGGGAAGGCUUAUCUCUGACAAUUCUAUAAUUGCUUUUGAAUGUCUUCAUCAUACACAGUCGCUUAAACAAAACAGGCCGACGGCGUGUGCUUACAAGCUUGAUUUGUCAAAGUCAUAUGACCGUGUCGACUGGGAUUUUUGGAGAAAGCACUUGGUAAAUGGGGCUUCGCCCAACAGUAGAUUUCUUGGAUUAUGGUGUGUGUGA
rnacentral:rRNA from 1 species